rnacentral:rRNA from 1 species
UACGGAGGAUGCAAGUGUUAUCCGGAAUGAUUGGGCGUAAAGCGUCCGCAGGUGGCUAUGUAAGUCUGCUGUUAAAGAGUGAGGCUCAACCUCAUAAGAGCAGUGGAAACUACAUGGCUAGAGUGCGUUCGGGGCAGAGGGAAUUCCUGGUGUAGCGGUGAAAUGCGUAGAGAUCAGGAAGAACACCGGUGGCGAAAGCGCUCUGCUAGGCCGCAACUGACACUCAUGGACGAAAGCUAGGGGAGCGAAUGGG